rnacentral:rRNA from 1 species
CACGGGGUUGCGAGCGUUGUCCGGAAUUACUAGGCGUAAAGGGCAGGCAGGCGGAUCCAUAAGUUUAUCGUUUAAAGCGUCGGCUUAACCGGCGUAGGGCGGUAGAUACUGUGGAUCUGGAAUGCGGUUGGGGAAGACAGAAUUCCUGGUGUAGCGGUGGAAUGCGCAGAGAUCAGGAGGAAUACCGAAGGCGAAGGCAGUCUUCCAAGCCGUUAUUGACGCUCAACUGCGAAGGUGUGGGUAUCAAACAGGAUUAGAUACCCGCGUAGUCCCUGA